GACGAACGCUGGCGGCGUGCCUAAUACAUGCAAGUCGAGCGGAGCGGCGAACGGGUGAGUAACGCGUGAGUAACUGCCCCCCUCUCCGGGAUAACAGUUGGAAACGGCUGCUAAUACCGGAUAGUGGGGGGUGACUCGCGUCCUAUCAGCUUGUUGGUGGGGUAGUGGCCUACCAAGGCGACGACGGGUAGCCGGCCUGAGAGGAGGACCGGCCACAUAGGGCGGAGAUACUGCCCGAACUCCUACGGGGGGCAGCAGUGGGAGAUGUUGCACAAGGAGGGAAACCCUGAUGCAGCAGCGCCGCGUGCGGGAUGACGGAAUACGGGUUGUAAGCCGCUUUAAGCCAUGAAGGGGUAGGGGCAGAAGAAGCACCGGCUAACUACGUGCCAGCAGCCGCGGUAAUAC
rnacentral:rRNA from 1 species